AAAAUAACCACAUCAUGUUUACCAAAACAUAAGGCAUCAUAAAUACAUCACAUAUCACAUAUUAACUCAUAACAUAAGUCAAAUUCAACUUCAUCAACAACACCAUUUACAAGCCAACUCACAUGGCUAAAUUCAAAGUUCAAAACAUACCAAAAUGACACUUGCCUAUACAUGCCAUAUACCAUAUAUACAAAACUUCAAAAGUACCAACAAGUUGAUCGAUAGUGUGACGAUGUUCCUGAUGAUCCCCAAAUCCGAGCUAGCUUCGAUUAUCUAUAAAACAAGGAAAGAACACACAAAGUAAAUUUUAAAAGCUUAGUAAGCCAUAUACAAAUAAAUUAUCACAUGAAUCAAUAUCAUUUCCAGCAAUAGGCAACUAUGAGUAAACAUUUAUAAGAUCACCAACCCUUCUCAUUGUACACAUAUUCAAUAUCAUAAUUGAAUUCAUCAAAUACUUCCCUUUCAUUACUUGUAUGAAUCUCGUAUGUACUUGAGCCAUUUAACUCAUUCACACAUUUUUUAUCGACUUGAUUUUUCCCGUUGAACCAUUCAGAAUCGUUAAGGAUACUCGAAAAUCACAUAAAGCUCAUACAAUGCCAUAUCCCAAAUAUGGUCUUACAUGUUAUCACAUAUCGAUGCCAUUGUCCCAGACAGGGUCUUACACGAAAUCAUAUAAUGAUCCCAAUGUCCCAGACAUGGUCUUACAUGUAAUCACAAUACAAUUCCAAUGUCCCAGACAUGGUCUUACAUGUAGUCACAUCUUGAUAGCCUAAUGUAUGACAUUCAUAUCCUAUAUUAGUCCUAAGGUUCGUACGAGACUUUUGGAUAUCGUACUUUUGUCGAUUCUUGCUUGUAUUUGCUCGUUCAACAUUCAUAGCAAUUUAAUGAUAAUGAAACAUAUAUAAUUCAAUUCAAAGACAUUUAUUUGCAUAUGAACUUACCUCGAUCGUAGAAACAACAAAACUAGCUGAUUAAUCAAGUACUUUGUUCUUGCCUCGAUCUAAGCCCGAUUUCUUUCGUUCUUGAUCUAUAUACAUUCAAAAUUAACUCAUUUAUUUAUUUAUUCAUUCAAUUUAAUCCACAAACACAUAUUUGAGCAUUUUUACACUUUAGCCCCUAAAGUUCCACAUUUAUUCAAUUUAGUCCCUAUUUCAUAAAUACACAAAAUUCACAAAAUUCAAUAAGACCCAUGCUUGGCCGAAUUACCCUUAUGCCCUUAAUAGCUCAUAUCUUUCAUUUAUUCACACUUUUAACCCCACAUUUUUAUCUUUUCACAAAUUAAUCCCUAAUUUGUAUUUUCUCUAAAAAUUACUUAACAAAACAUAUUAAUCUAUCAUUUAUAUUCCAUUUUUCAUCAUUAACCAUCACAAAACACAUAGAUUCAACAAUUGUACUUCAUAAAUUCAUCAACAAAUUCAAAAAUUAAGGUACAGGCUAGCUAGUACUCAAAGAAACAAUUACAAAAACGUAAAAAUCAUCAAAAACCCAGCAAAGAACAUACCUUAAUCAAGGAAUAUGCUAGCUGAAUAUCAAAGCCCUAAAAUGUCUUCUUCUUCUCUAUUUUCGGUUCAAAAAGAAAGAAAGAUGGACAAAAUUUAUGUUUUGGUGUAUUUUAAUUAACCUAUUUAACAAUUACCAAAUUAACCUUGACAUUAAACCAUUAAUUAACAUUCAUUUAAUGGUCAUUUAUGUCAAAUUCCACUAUCAAUGGUCUAAUAACAUCAUAAGAACAUUUGGUUUAAUAAACCAUAUCAAAUAGACACUAUUAACUUAUAACAUGCUACUUUUGCAUUUUAAGCGAUUUAGUCCUUUCAUCAAAUUAAGCACUCAAACAUUAAAAUUAUUUCACGAAAUUUUCAUACAUAUAUAAUCACAUGUUAUAAACACCAAAAAUAAUAUUAAAAAUAAUUUUCUGACCUCAGAUUUGUAGUUCUGAAAUCUCUGUUCUGAUUUAGCUAAAAUCGGGCUGUUACACCCGGCUUAUGCACACCUCUACCCACAAGCAUGAAGGCAACAUAUAUCAUACUAAAUCAAAAUUCGAAAUACCAAAUAUCUCUAAAACUUGAAAUUCACCAAACCUUGAAUAUCCAUAUAGUUCGUUAUACAACUUAAUGAAAGAUGCACAAUAUUAUUAACUAACAACUCAACUAAAUUUGUCAUUAUAUUAUUCACUUUCAGAUUGCCUAGAUGAUAAUAUAUUUGAUUGGAUUUAAAUUGUGAUAAUCUUAUAUUCAUUUAUGAAUAACUUCACUUGUAGUGUUCAUAAUAUGAUUUAGUUCCAUACUCCCGAACUCAAGGAUUUGGAACAUAACAACACAUAUACUCAUGAGACAAAUCCCAUGAGCAUACAAAGCAACAUAUACUAUACUAAAUUAAAAUCUAAAAUAUCAAACGAGUCCAAAAUUUCAAAUUUACAUAACUUUGAAGAUUCAUACAAGUCGUAAUUUAACUUAACUGAGAUACACAAUAUUUGUAACACCCCUAACUUGAACUUGUCGCCUACGGAGUAUUACUGGAGUUUACAGAACAAAUAGAUAGAAAUUUCAAGCAUUUCAUAUCAUAUAAUAUUCAUAUCAUAAACCAACCGAAAACAAACAUAUUUUCCCUUAUAUAAGCCUUCGAGGCCCAAAAUAUGCAUUAAAAACAAGUUAGGACUAAAUUAAAUACUCAAAAAAAUUUGAAAAACAUUGAAAAUUUUCAAAGCUAUAAGGGACACAGGGCUGUGUGGCCUGGCCGUGUGGGCAUUCGAAAUAGGGACACACGACUGUGUCCCAGCCCGUGUCUGUACCCGUGUAACUCUCUGACUUGGGUCACAUGGCCAAGUCAUACGCCCGUGUCCUAGGCCGUAUUAAGUAUACUGACUUGCGCAAUUUUAAAGAUAUAGGGGACACACGGCCGUGUCACCUAGCCGUGUGUCACACACGGCUGAGACAGACGCCCCGUGUCUCUGCCUGUAUGGACAAAAAUAGACCAUUUCUAAGCCAUAUUUCUCACCUAAUUUGGUGCCAACCUAAACACAAAAAUUUGCAUAUCAACAAACCAUAACAAGGCAUUCAAAUCAAGCUAAAAUCAAGUCUUAAACAUAUAUUAUCACAAUAUACAACCAAUAUACCUUUAGGCACCUCAAAUGAAAAAUUAAUAACAUGUCAACCAAAUAUCCAUAUUUACCUAGAUAACCAAAUGCAUAUAUGUAUAAUUAUACCUAAUAUACCAUUUUAAACCAAUCAUCAAUAUACCUAUAAUUUUUCCUUCAUUCAACCAUAUCAAACGUACAUUAAAUAUGUUAAUGCCACAUAUAUAAACACAUCAAAAUACAUCAAACACAAGCCAUUCAAAUGGCUUGUCUCAACAAAACAUUUAUAAACCAACAUUGGCCAAAAUAUCCUAUACAUGCCAUUAUAAUCGAAAUUAAUUUACUGAAAGUACCAAAAGAGCCAAUGGAUAGUGUGAAAUAGCUCCAACUAGCUUCCAACCCAAAUGAGCUUCUGAAUUACUAUAAAACAUGAAAAAUAACACAUAGUAAGCACUUAAGCUUAGUAAGUUUGUAUAGUACAGAAUUUAACUUACCAUAUUUCCACAAAAUAGGUAAGUAAAUAUAGAAUAUCUCAAUCAAUUUGGCCAAAAGCCUAAACACAUGAUCACCAACAUAUUAGCCAUAAAAAUCACAUAUCAAAUCCAACCCACAUGGUUGAAUUCAUUAAAUAAUCAUAUUUCAUGUAUAUACCGGUAAUAGUUUAUAUCAAACUCGUAUGAUUUCAUAAUAGAAUUGUGCCUGUUGAACCAUUUAGAAUACCGUUGGAUACACGGGUAGUACACACGAGGUGUACUGAACUAUAAUCCGUCAAUUUAUAUUCAUGUAUGCUCAUACGAGCUGUAAACGAAAAGCUCCUUCGAGUUGAAUAACGGGAAGCUCAUGCGAGCUGUAUAAUAGGAAACUCAUAUGAGCUGUGGUGUGUCCGCAACACAUGCAGGACCCAAACCAAAUCGAUAACCCUAAUGACAUGUCAUUUGUAUCCUACGAAUUUCAUAAGGUUCGCACAGGACUCGGUAAUCGUCGAAUAUACAAUCGAUAUUUAUUCAUGGAAAUUGUACAAUUCACAAACAAUAAUUCAAUUCAACACAUAUUAAUGUAGAAUUUAAUUACAUGAACUUAUCCAGUGAGUUUAUGUAGAUACAAAGGCGACUAAUCCGAUAUUUUUCCUUUGCCUCGAUUUAACUCUAUACUAGGUCUAACCGGAUCUAUACGAAUGAAUUUAACUCGAUUUAAUAUAAUUCAUAUUCAAUUUAGUCCAACACACAUUUUUUGGCAAAAUUAUUAUUUUUCCCUAUACUUUUAAUUUAUUAUAAUUUAGUCCCUAGGCUCGAAAAAUGACUUUCAUGCAAUUUAAUCCUUACUCAAGCCUAGUCAACUUUUAUACAUAUUAAUAGCAGUCCACAUAAUUCACAAUUUCACAAUUUUACCAUAAAUUUAUCAUCUUUUUCAAUUUAAUCUCUAAUUGAUAAUUUCAUCAAAAUUCUCUUUACAAAAAUUGUUUAUCUAACAACAACCUUUCAUUUUUUUAUCAUAAAACUUUAAAAUUCAAGAACACUUAUCAAUGAUGGAACCCUAAUACUUUAUCGAUUUUGCAAAUUAAUCUUCGAGCUAGCUAGAUUAAGCUACCAUGAUCUCGGAAACAUAGAAUGAGAUUAAGCUAGAUUAAUCCUCGAACACUUAUCAAUGGCAAAACACAUUCUUUCUAUGUUUGGCCAACAUUUGGUGCUCGAAAAAGUGAGUUGAAUUUCUCUUUUCACCUAACCACCCAAUUUACUUGAAUUUUCUAAAUGAGAAUGAAGCAAUACUUGAGUUUUUCAAAUGAGAAUUAAAUGAAAUAACAACAAUUUAGGAUUUUCCCAUUUGCCAGUCCAAAGUGAUAGUCAUCCUGUCAAGCUAUGAAAAUUGAAGGUUAAAUUUAUAGUUAAAUUUAAUUUAUAAAUGGAUUUAACGAAAAAUGUUAAUCAAAAUAUUGAAAAUAGCAAUUCAAAAAGUAAACUAACGAAUUUUGAAUAAAUAAAAGUAAAUGGACUUUUUAUGGUACAAUGUCAAGUUAUAAAUUGGGGAGGAGAGAAUUAUAUCAACAAAGUUUGAACCUUGACCAUUGAACUAUCAAUAAAAUGACUUAAUCAUUAUUUUCCUAUGUCAUUGAUAAAUACAUAGUCAUAAAAUUUAACCUAUUAAAAAUUAUUUAUUUCAAUACAUAGUCAUAAAAUUUAACCUAAUAAAAAUUAUUUAUUUCAUAAUUUUUAGUUUUAUUAAUAUAAUAUUUUAUAGCCUUAAAAUUUUAAAAAGCCUUUUUAAAAUAAUUAAUAAAUCAAUUAAGCUUGUAAUAAAAAAUUACACUCAAUUAAAACAAUCAAUUGAAUACCUAAAAGGUAAUUUUUCAUCAAAGCCCUUAAUGAGCCAUUAAGUGAUAAUGAUGUAGCUAAUGUGACAACUUAAUUGUUUUUUAAAUUAUAUUAUGAGGGGUUUUAAGUCUAAAAAUAUUAACAAAACUACAAAUUUUUAAAUAAUUAAAAAGUUACAGAAAACCAAAAAAAAUGAAAAAUAUUAGAAAAAUAUUUUGAGAAAUAUGAAAAAUAUUAGAAAAAUUAUUAUAAAAGGUAAAAAAGUUGUAGAAAGUUAUAUUAAAAUUAUUAAAAUGAUAAAAAAAUAUAAAAAAAAAUUCAUUUUGAUUUUGUUAAUAAGGCAUGAGGAAUUUAAAAUGUGAUGGUGGUCAAACUUACAUGGGAUAUCGAGUGUUGAGUCACUAGAGUGAUAGAUAAUGGUUUAGGUUGAGGAGAUGCGAUGCAAGUGGAGUUAAUAAAUGACAAGGAUGGAUGGAGAUGUGAUACAAGGGAAUGUGAAGGAAAACAAAAAAGCAAUAGCAAUUUUUAUUUAUUUAUAAUAUUUUAUAAAUUUUAUUUUAGUUUUUUUAUAAUUUUUCUAUAUAAUUUAUUUAUUUUUAUAAUAAUUAUAGAAAAAUAAAAAUUAUUAAAAGUUUUAAAAACUAUUAGAAUUUAUUAAAAUACUAUAAAAAUUAUGAACCUUAUAGAAAAUUUUAAAAUUUUAAAAAUUAUUAGAAAUUUAUAAUAUAUAGAAUUUUCUAAAAAAUAAAAAAUAUAAAUUACUUAUCAUUUUAUAAAAUUUUAAUAAUUUUAUUUUGUAACAUUUCAAUAAUUUUUAUUAAUUUAUUAUUUAAAAAAUUUAAUAUAAUUUUCUAUAACUUUUUUUUAUAGUUUUAUAAAUUUCUAUAAUUUCUCUAAUUUUUAUAAAUUUUAUGCUAAAAAACGCUUCCAAAUAGUUUUAAAAAAACUCAAUUAACCUCUCUUAAGAUAAUUUAAAAAAUGCAAUGACAUCUUGAAUGACAAAGGUUGUGGAUUCCUCUGUUGAGAUCAUUGGUGAGGAAGAUGACGGUGGCCUACCUGAAGAUCUUUCUACUAAAAAGGUCCAUCUUAAGGAGCAGCAGAUGGCUUCAGACUUAUCAAUUAUGGUUGAUUUGGAUCCUACACCGACAGUGACUUGGAAAGAUAAGCUCUUGGGAGGGUCAUCAACCAAGGGAGGGCUGACUGAAAUACUAAAGUUGGGCAGGGAGUCUGAUCUGGAAUUUGUUGAGGGAGAUAUCAAGAAAUUGGAUAUUAACAGAACUUCAUCAAUUGAUUUUUUUGAAAAUGUUAACCAGCUACUAGUUAAGGAUAUGGCUUUGACGGUCGUGAUUAAGCUACUUGGCCAGAAUAUUGGAUUUACGACUCUCCAAAACAGAAUAUCCAACUUGUGGAGACCUUGGAUGCUUUUUCACCUAAUAGACAUUGAAAAUAGAUAUUAUUUAGUUAAAUUCCAAAGCAAAGAUGAUUAUGAUAGAGUUUUGAACUAAGAAAAUUGGAUUGUUUUUGUCUAGUACCUAACGAUCCAGCCUUGGUCAACGAACCUUGACCCUGCAAAACCAUACCUGAGCUUGGUUAAGUUUUGGAUUCGCCUCCCUGGUCUUCCGGGUCACUUGUAUAACUGGAAAAUUCUAUUGGAGAUUAGAGAAUUGGUGGGGAAAGUUGUGGGGUUGGAUUUUAAUACUGAUAAUAGGGCUAGGGGUAGGUUCGCUCGGAUGGUCGUGUUUGUCAAUCUAGAUAAAUCCCUGAUUUCUCAGAUUCUGAUCAAUGGCAUUCUCCAACACAUUGAGUACGAAUCUUUGUCGGUGGUGUGCUUUACUUGCGAUCGGUACAACCAUGGAAAUGAGUUGUGUCCAACUGCUAAAAUGGUUGUGGUGGAAGAGGGAGAGCAAUCUGCUGGAGUUAGAAUCGGAGAAUCCGAUGUGGCAAUAGAGUCAACAAAUAGGGAGGUUGAUUCGGUGAACUAUGGCCCUUGGGUGUUGGUGGAGAAGAAAUCAAGGAAAAUAUCCAGGGAAGAUCGGGGUUUUAGAGCCAGAAAUUGGGGAAUAGAUCUAGUGGAUCUCAUUUCAAAGUCCUAUCCAUCAAGGGAAAUGGUGAAAGCAAAGGGGCUGGGGAGAAAACUUAAGGGACAGAGGAUAAAAGAUUUGGAUGAAGAAAUAUCUGGGAUCAUUAAUAAGGGUAGGAAAGUUGGGCUGGAGCUAGGGUCCAAUGGCUUUUUGGACAAAGGUAAAAAUGGUGGGAAGUUGGACCGAAGUCUUUUUGGUGGACGAGUUUAUAACAGCGUGGAAGGGGCUGUUCCAUCAGCUAAAGCCCA
rnacentral:lncRNA from 1 species